rnacentral:lncRNA from 1 species
CCAUUAUAAAGGUGGGAGAAUUGGGGCUCAGUCCCCUCAGCUAGUAAGGAGAAGAGCUGGUCCUUGAUCUCAGGUCUGCUGGUCCCCAGAGCUCGAGUCCCAGCUUCAGCUUCUCAACUCUGAGUCUCUGAAAAGGGUUUCCAAGGAGGCGGUGGAACCGUGUGGACUCAAUGACUUCAGACAUGGUCUGGGGCUGGGAGGCCAGACCGAGCUGCUGCAGAUAUGCAGCAGUGGAGCGAUGUUCCUGAUGCGGAGGCAGUGGAUGUCUGGAGAGAGAACCGAACUGGGGGGCCAGAGAAAGAGCUGGACGAUCUUAAGCAAGCAAUUUAACCUCUCUGAGCCUCAGUUUCCCCAGCCUCUGAACGGGGUGAGAAUACGGAGGAUUUCAAGGGGCCCUUAUAGAUCUGCCUCUUUAUUGCCUUUUGAAAACUCGCUGUCCAGUGAACGAAGAC